AGUGAACGCUGGCGGUAGGCCUAACACAUGCAAGUCGAACGGCAGCACAGUAAGAGCUUGCUCUUACGGGUGGCGAGUGGCGGACGGGUGCGGAAUACAUCGGAAUCUACUUUUUCGUGGGGGAUAACGUAGGGAAGCUUACGCUAAUACCGCAUACGACCUACGGGUGAAAGCAGGGGAUCUUCGGACCUUGCGCGAUUGAAUGAGCCGAUGUCGGAUUAGCUAGUUGGCGGGGUAAAGGCCCACCAAGGCGACGAUCCGUAGCUGGUCUGAGAGGAUGAUCAGCCACACUGGAACUGAGACACGGUCCAGACUCCUACGGGAGGCAGCAGUGGGGAAUAUUGGACAAUGGGCGCAAGCCUGAUCCAGCCAUACCGCGUGGGUGAAGAAGGCCUUCGGGUUGUAAAGCACUUUUGUUGGGAAAGAAAAGCAGCAGGUUAAUACCCCGCUGUUCUGACGGUACCCAAAGAAUAAGCACCGGCUAACUUCGUG
rnacentral:rRNA from 1 species